UGUACAGCACUUUGAGAUAUCAGCUGAUGUACGAAGGGCUAUAUAAAUACAUUUGAUUUGAUUUGCAUGUCACCUGCUGAACCUCAUUGCAACAGAUUCUUCGUCGGCAGAAACAAAUAGUGAUGGCUACAAAAGGUUGUGCAGGUGGUCUUUUGCCAAAUGCCAUGUGGAAUAAAACGGUCAACCUUAGCUGCUGAAGUUGUAGAGAAUGAGUGCAAACUGCAGUUGAUCCAGCCAAAUCAAACACGUUGGAACUCAACUUACCUGACUGUGGAGAGGAUCACACGUACCAUACAAGAGAAGGGGGAGGAUGCCGUAAGAAAUGUGUGUGAAGAAUUAGAAGUGAAAAUGCUGAGCCCGGCAGAAAUGUUCUUCUUAAAUGAGUACUGCGAAGUGAUGAAGCCUUUGGUCUCCGCUUUGAACAUUCUACAGUCGGAGACCAACACUCAUAUGGGGUGGCUGCUGCUAGUGAUCUUCUUACUAAAAACAAAACUUCAAAGGCUGGAAGCAUCUUUCCAAAUGUGCCUACCACUUAUCAGAGCCAUUCAGAACGGUCUCCAAAAGUGCUUUGGAGAAAUGAUGGAGGAGUCACAGCUUAUUACUGCUGUACGUCUUGGACUGACAAAGCUGAUGUCAUCACAGCCGGUAUGGCGUCCCUGAAGAAUUAUCGUGAAACAAUCACACAGGACGAGACUGAGCAUCUAAGGCAGCAUUCAUCUGAUGAAGAGGAUUAGAAGGCACAGGGGAAAUGGUCAGAAGAUGCAUGGGAGCUGGAUGGAUAUCUUGCUAGUCCAUUGGACAAAAUGGGUUUACUUCAUUUCUUACCGCACCUUUAUAUAACUAGGCAAGUCAGUUAAGAACAAAUUAUUAUUUUCAAUGACGGCUUUGGAACAGUGGGUUAACUGCCUUAUUCAGGGGCAGAACGACAGGUUUUUUCCUUAUCAGCUCGGGGAUUUGAUCUUGCAACCUUUUGGUUACAAGUCCAAUGCCCUAACUACUAGGCUGCCUGUCGCCACAUAUAGAAGUUGUCACUCAAACUCAACACAGGCCUGCCUGCUUCUGCCGCCUGUGAGCAUCUUUUUAGCUGUGCUGGACUACUCUUCACUCCAAGCGAGCCAGGAUAGACUAAAUUAACUGUCACGCUGGUAUAAAGGAUUUUGGAGACAGGCUCAGGAAUACACAAUAGGGGUUUUUAAUACACCCAAAACAAACACGUACACAAAAACACUGGGCUGUACGGAAACAAAAGAGCGAGGGUAAACCUCAUUGACCGACACGGGACGAUACCCGUAACACACAAUAUAUAUAGCACACAGCUUAACAGCUGCACCAACGCAUAGGUACUCACACCACCAACGGACAUGGGAACAAUAAUCGACAAGACCAUGGAAAUCAAAGGGCACAUCAACACAAAUACUAAUCAGUGGGAAUAGAGGACAGGUGUGCAUGAUGAAUGUUCAGGAGGGAUCCGUGACAUUAACUUAGAAAAUCAUCUCAUACUGAAACUGAAAGGCAAAUUCAGAGAAGUGAAGUGAGUUAAGUGUUCGAUAGGUAGUGCCACUAAAAAUGUGCCUUUUGAACAUUCUUUUGAACAUUUGUGUAUGGGAAGUUGAAGAUUUUAUAUUAAAUCAGCUGUGCUGGAUCUUAUCUUGUUGGUUAUUUUCUGGUGUUUAUGGAACAUUUGCCACACCCUUUUCACAUUCUUGUAAAAGGAUAAUAAAAAUAACCAUCAAAAUUGAAAUAGCAAAUUAUUUUAGUAACUU